AAAACUUUCAACAACGGAUCUCUUGGUUCUGGCAUCGAUGAAGAACGCAGCGAAAUGCGAUAAGUAAUGUGAAUUGCAGAAUUCAGUGAAUCAUCGAAUCUUUGAACGCAUCUUGCACCCUCCGGUAUCCCGGUGGGUAUGCCUGUUCGAGCGUCAUY
rnacentral:rRNA from 2 species